AGUCGGUCACAUGACUGGGGAUGGGACUAGCGGUCCUUGGACUCUGCAAUGCUUCUUCUUCUUCUUCUUUCCUCAGUCUUCGCACCAGGAAUGCUUUAUCUGCUAUUUGCUAAAAUGCAACAAAAAAAGUUGGAUACAUGAACCACGUUGACUACCGCCUUAGGCUAGGUUCACACUACCGCUAGGCUCUGUCCCGUAGGCUAUUUUUUUUUUUUUAUAACCUAAUGGACCCUGAACAGGUCGAAGCACAACGGGUCCCGACGGAUCACAUUGAUGGGGUCCAUCAGGUGUCCGUUAUUUUGGAGAAGGUAGUGGGGCAAAAAUAAACUGCUUAAUUAAAUAAAGAGGUGCAGGGAUCAAACACCACACCCUCAGCCAGAGGAUUCAUGAGAAAUAUAAGAACCAUUACAGAACCACUUCAGUGUGGAAUUGCUACUGGUAUGGGGCCUAUCCCAUGCCUGCUUCAUCAGCUACAACAGACAAGUGAUCCUUCAGCUGCUCCACAUCUAGUUCAUUCUGUCGGACACGGGAGACAUAGCAGAAGGUGAUGAAGAGGAAGAUGAGGUUGAGAAGCGGCAGCAGCGGAGCGUAGAACAUCCCCCCCCACACUACCGUCUGACCGUACACUGUGUCCAGAACAUUCUGGGAUAGCAGGAAUUUCUCCUUCCCA